UCUUGAGUUGAUCCAGGCCAGGGAUACAUGGCUCGUUCCCCCCUCCUCCUGACGCCAAGCCUGGUCGCUGGUGACCGGCCCCAUGGAGGUCCUUCUGCCUCCAGCAUGAUGCCAAAAGAUCCAUCCCAGUGGUGUUGGAAGGCAAAGGUUGAAUGGGUGGGCCCCGGCGGAGAAAGAAACAAGGGCAAAGGUUUGAAACACCAUUGGUUAAAAUACCUCGAUGUAAAAAUGAGCCUCUUGAACGCGUCUGAGAGGGUCUAAACACCCAUCUGACAGGGCUUAUAAAUAGACAAGUGAGAUGUUGAAAUUAUUUUAAGACAGAUGCCUUUUUAAACUGUAUUCGGAGCACCUUUCGGGGCUCCUCAUGGCACAGUUCCUCGAGCAGGAGGUAUUUCAUCUUCGGAACAUCUGGAACUGUCAAGGAGGUAGCCCUGCAGACCCCAGCAGAUGCAGGCACUUCCACAUAAAAGUGCGCCAACAAAUCAUGCCUGCAACUGCAGACCAGCUCAAGUGUUCCGCAGCAGCGACUGAGGAAGCAGGGCUCAGGCGGGGAGCACAGCUCACGGGAGCCCCUGGCCCCCCUCCACUCCUACUGCUGGAAUCAACCCUUAAAAAAACAAUUCGGCUGCAAUUGUUUUUGUUUUAAAGAUUUACUUAUUUGAGGAAGAGAGAGUGUGCGCGAGGUGGGGGAGACAGGCAAGAAGGAGAAGGAGAGAGAGAAUCUCUCUCCACUGAGAGUCAUAGCCCGACGUGGGGGCUUGAUCCCACGACUCUGAGAUCAUGACCCGAGCCGAAACCAAAAGUCGGAUGCUUAACCGACUGAGCCACCCUGGCUCCCCCUUUCUCUGCAAUUCUUUACCAAGUGGCUAACCAACUGCAAGCCAGUUUGUUUCCUUGUCUUGUAGGAAGUGAUUGACAGAAAAGUCUUUUUUGUUCCCCGCUUUGGGGUAACAUUUUCUCCAUCCCAUAAAUCCAUAGGCUUGACAGAACAGGGUCAGUUUGUGCUGUUACUCAAAGAAUCCCCAUGCUUGCUUGCUUUGGGUUUUCCACUGGCCUUGUUGGUCUUUGGGCAGGCAGGGCGGUGGGGGGGGGGGGGGGCGGUCACGGCACCUUGCCCAUGAAGGGGGCCGGUGUGGCCCCAUACUGCCUUCUUACGGCAGGUAAAGCCAUGUGGCAAAGUCAGACCUCCCCCCCCGCCCCGGACGCUGACCACUCGGCCCCAGAAGGGACUUCUUCCAUUAAACCCCCAGACAAAACUGAUGAUACUUUAUCUCUUCAGGGGCUAAGGCUCAAGUGUGCAUUCAAAACCUGUGUCUCAAUGCAUCGCUUGGAUUUUUUUUUUUUUUGUGGCUGCAUGCCAAAGUGCUACAGGAGAAAUAGAAACAGGAGAACCUCACAAGGACUGAGCUGGAACUUUACACAACUUUUCUAUAAAGUAUAGCAAUAAAAUAAAUACUGCUGAUAAUAAUAAUAAAAAAAAAAUAAUAAUAAAUGCCUUGAUCAGUUUUAUGAAAACAUUUGGACCUUGCGGGACGGAGGAGGAAAUGAAACUGGAUGUUGGAAGCUUUGGGAUUUAUAAGAACGUCUUUGGCCAACGUAAUAAAGACAAUCUUCCAGAGUGAAGGGAAAGCUGGUGUUAUGAUGGAAUCUCCACCACUGUCACUGUUUUCUCUCUCUGUUGUAGUGGCAAGCCAGCCACCACCCUGGUGACCAAGUACAUCCUCGAAAUUAGCUUCCCGGCAGAUGAAGUGAUGCUCUCCGCAACUUAGUGAGGCGGGUUGCUUCGCCCCUAUUAAACCGAGCCAGGCAUGCUGAGGGGUGGCAAUGAUUUCAGGGUCAAACGUUGAAAUAUCUGGUACCUCCCUAGAGCCAGUGUCGGCUGAGACACCGCUGUUUGGGCGGGAGGGGCAGGAAGCCCCCGGCUGCCAUUCUGUGCAUCUGUGCAUUGGAGUGCUUGGUUCUUUUCCCCUCUGCUUCUCAGGAAAGAAUGCCCGAGUGAGGACAGGCAGCCGCACAACUUCUACCACCCUGUGGUAACUUCAUGCCAUGACAUACACUGCCCAGAUGGGCCUUCACUGCCAUUCCUGUGAUAAGCGGCACCCCGGGUACCUGGGCACCCCAUUUCAUCCUGCGGUCCACGGGGGGGGCAGCUUUAGUGGAGCUCUGGAGGUCAACAGCAACACGUCUUUGUCAACAGCAAAUUUUGAAAGAUCUCAGAAUCACCAACGCUGGCCCUCCAUGGUCGAGGAAUUGGCCACGAGACAGACCCAGAACAGGUUUCAGCCAGAGCCCAGUGGCGAUGUCCCAUGUCCAACACCGUCUCAGGGGCCGGGGCUCCAGAAAGGAAAGCGAUCUGCCCACUGAAGCUGCCCAAAGCGCGCUCGGCUUUUGCAUUUUCUCCCAGCCUGUACAUCUCCCAAAUAUUCCUUUUCCACAGUGUGCCCCCACCCCCAAUUUUAUAUGUAGCAGAUGGCCUUCAAACAAAUCAAGGACAGAAGCUACAAAAGCCUUAAAGAAAAAAAAAAAGACAGUGAAACUCAUAUAUUUCUUCAAACGAUAAGAUGAACUACAGAUGUUUGCUGAAGGGUGAUGCUGCUGCCUAUAACUUAAGACUCAACUUAAAAGAAGAUUCCACUUGUGUUUAGCGUUGGACAAGCCCGGUAGCUGUCAGGGUGUGAUUUAUGGAGGUUGUUUGUGAGAUCUGAUGUCACUGGGGACAUAGCAAUUAAAACGCUCUGCCAUUGGGCCCGCAGAGCCGCCUCCUCUGUGGACCCAGGCAUGGAGUCCAGGUGGAAAUGCCCUGCGCUCCACAGCCAGGCACGAGGAUGGGUGCGGCCAUCCCCAGGGUGCCCUCUCGCUCCCGAUCCUCCCUCCCUCCCCUCCUGCAGAGUUCUUGGUCCUCUUGGACAAGUCCCGUUCUUACCUGACACCUGCAGUCAGAUUAAUCUCCAAAGAAGCUUGACAAAGUCACUAAAAGAGAAACAGUCAUCUGUUGCGGGACUCGGCUGCAUAUAGGAAACAGCUGCUUGCUAGGCUCGGUUUGUAAAGAAGGCAGAACAGCAUCACUGCGAAGUGUUUAAAAACGCACGGAAAGCAUGUAUUGGAAAGGCCAGCGGAGGCCUGUAAUUAACACAACGCUCAGUAUCUGUGUUUCUAUUAAAAGCCGCUUUUCCAGGACUUGUUGUAACUUGGACAUAUUUAUUACGAACUGAAACCGAAGGUACGAGCGAGGCCUUAGCUGGAUGCCGUUUGCCCUCCCGUCGUUUGGCCUCCUAAGCUGAGAUUCUUAAUAAUGCAAAGAGAGCGAGGUGUUUUGGAUGCACACGCCCGCUCCCAAGCACGAGCCGCCGUCUGCAUCUGUGUGGAGGCAGACACCUACGCCCAUCACACAUGUGCCCGGGGCCCUUUGGCAGCUGCUCGGCGCUGGGUUGAUGGCAGAGGCCGCAGGGUCCUGGGUAGAAGCAGCGGGAGGAAGCCCCAGCCUGCCUGUGGCCUCUGGAACAGAAAUGUGGGGAGCCUUUGAAGUUCCCACAACUCAGGUGGAAGCCCCUCCGAGCGGCCCUGGGAGGAAGUCAUUCGUUUUCACACAAAGGGGAAAAUUCCUCAGGACCCUGGUGUUUCCACUCAAACAAACCUCUGAAAAGUUGUUCUCCAGAGGAUCAAGGACCAGCUGUUCUCCAUCUCCGUGAGGCGGUGGAGAGAGGAGCUGCGCUGGCUGGAAGACAGCGUGAGAGACGCAAGCUAGACAGGAGGAAGCACGGUGAGGCGGGCCAGGUCCUUGGCACGGGAACCAGGAAGAUAGCACGUGGUUUGGCCGUCAGAGGGAGGAGGAUGCCCGGUGUAAGCGUUUCAAGAUCUGUUCUGUGUUCAUGGAGAAGAUUGCAGCCCAUGGCCUUUUUACCUGCCACUGAGUUCGCUGGGCGCAUGCCGCACACAGGACCCACAGGCUGCAAGCUGCUGACGGCCCUUGGGUGUACCUCAACUCACACCCAGAAGUUUCCAGGGAGGAGUUUCUCGUCCUGUGAAUCAGAAUUCCUCUCAUUUCGGAGGCUGAGAAGUCAAAGCCUUGCCUCUGUCCUCCCUUCGCAGGCUGGACCAUCGGGUCUCCUGUUGUGGACGAAGCUUGCCUCAUCGUUGUGCUGGUUCACCCCACCAAAGGAGACUGAAAAAGAGUGUGACUGGACAGCAUCAAUCUAGGAAGACUUCCUGAAGGAGGGUGUCUCUUCCCCAGAUUUUUGGAGGAGAACCACAGUAACUUGAUAAGGGCAUCGAAUAGAAGGCUGAUGUUCCUGCGAGGGAGACUGGAGUCAACAAAGACUUAGGAGUUAGACUCUGAGUGAACUCUUCACGGGUGAUGGCAAAGGUCCUUAUCAACAGGACAUCCCUGCAGACUCAGAAAGGGAGAGAAUAAUGAUGCUAAAAAUAGAAAACCGUGUCAUUUAUUUAUUGUCUACUGAGUGACCAGCACUCACAACUGUGUGAUAGGUAUUAUUAUCAUUUUAUGGAUGAGAAAUGGGAGCUCAGAGAGGGUAAGUAACUUGCUCAAGAUGGAUUGGAAUGAUGGAUUUGGAAUUCAUAAUGAUGGAUUUGGAAUUCAUAAUCCAUACAUGAUGGAUUUGGAAUUCAUAAAGCAUGGAAUUCAUAAAGCCCAGGCAAGGCUGCCCAACGGUCCCCACUCUGCCUGGGACUGAGGGGUUCCUGGGACGUGGGACUCUCAAUGCUGAUUUUUCUGUUAAUGGCAGGAUCUGUUGGGUGGUUGUGGAGGUAGUGCAAGUGGGUACUAACAGUCAUGCCUAUACUAAAUAAAGUUAAUAUCCUUGCCUCAGAGGACCCCCUAGAGUUGAUUGGUAAAAGUGGAAGCAUGAAGGGAAGGAAGGAAGGAAGGAAGGAUGGAAGGAAGGAAGGAAGAAAAGGAAGGAAAGGAAGGAAAGGAAGAAAGUAAUUAUCAGCUCAGAGCAUUCCAUACAGCAGCAGAGAGGUGAUGCAGUCAGUCCAAAUAGCAAACAACAUUUCUAUUUGUCUCAGGACUGUGAUAGCAUUUUUCCCUCUGACAGACUUUCCUUUGCAACUCAUUUUUGGCUCUAAUUAAUGAUAAAUGGCGGGUGCGUUCUUUAAGCACAGGGAACCAGAGGAGAGAAAACGUGGUGUUCAGAUUCUGGGAGUAUCAAGAGGUAAGCCUCAUGACAGGGCAGAGCGCAGCCUUAGGGGUCUUUGGAGGUAUAAACACCAUCACCCAGUUGACUCACUUGUUAACCCGAGUGUGUGAUGGGUGGGGGUGUCUGUGGGCAGGAUCAUUCCAGGCUCAGCCAUGAUUCUCUGAAAUAACAGCAGCAAAGCUGCCAUUAUGGAACUCCUGGUACCUUUGCUCCAGGUGUUUCGUAGACAUAAUUUUAAAUGCUUAGACAAUCCUUCAGAGCAGGCAUUAUUAAUCCCAUUUUCGAGAUGAAGAAACCGAGGAGGAGCAGUCUCUGGGGACUUCUUGUGUGAAACUGGCAGGUCUGGGCUCCCCAGUGACGUUCCUUGGGCGUCAAGUCAUGAACCAGGGGAUAGUCUUCCUGAGUGCCCACGGCUCUGGCGAUGGCUGGUCCCAUUCAGUAAACAUUCACGGGUGCCUGGCAUAUUCUACCAGAGGGGGUGGGUUCAUGGAGUUGUCCUUGAAGAACUCGGAUGGAUCUUUUAUGUUCCCCACCACUGUGGUGAUAGCAGCCUAUGUUCUUCCAACUUCCAUUCAUUUGCACAUGCUGUGUCCCCUGCUGGAGUGGUCUUCCUCUGUUUGACCAUCUGAAGAGCCUCUACCCAUCCUUCAAGACUCAGUUCAAGCACCGCUUCCAUGGAUAUAGUCUUUCCCACCCCCCAGCCCUAAUCUGGGUGAGGUCUCCUCUUCUGGAGUCUCCUCCCAUCCCAUAUGGAUGGUGACCUCAACUGAUUGUUCUAUAAUCUGUCACCACCCUUCUCACUGCCAGUCUUCCCAGCCUGUGAGCUCCUUCAGGGGAGUGAUGGUGGUUUCUUCGGUUGGUGCAAGGCAGAUACUCAACACUGUUGAAUGAGUAAGGGACAGGCUAGAGUGUCCCGGGAGCUCUGGCUGGGACACACUGACCUCCAUUGCUUCUGGUGGACCCUGCUCGGCAUCUUAAGUUUGCUUCAUGCUAGAUUUUCCCCACACAUGCUUCUGGGGAGCAUGCCUUGGGGACUCUCAGUGAGCUGCUUUCUCUCCUUGGGUGCGGCUUUUCACCAGUCUGUGCCAAGACUAGGUGCCGCCCAUAGUGUGCUCUUAAUUAAGGGCGGUGAUUCUGGAAGGGAGAAACAGAGGAAGCACCAUAAUUUAUACUGGAUGAUUGCCAUCUCAUUUUAUCAAUCUCCUAAGGUUUGAUUAAAGAGACCUCUAAGGAUAGGGAUAGAGUAGACGCAAGCUUCACUACAGAAAGCGUUUUUCACAAGACUCUUCUCGGAAGAAGGAAGGAUCCAAGCUCUAUAAAUAUGCAGCAUGCCAAAUCUGAAGGCAAGAGUUGAUUUACAAAUUUCCGCUCAGCCCAAAGUGGGUCAUUGCUUAUUUAGAGAGGACUUUCUGCGUGGGUCCCUCUGAGCAGUUGGCAUCUCAGGGAUGGAGGGGUCAGAAGGCUGGGCUCCUGGCGUUCUUUACCAUUUACCAGCUGGGUAGCUUGGUGAGAUCAUAAUCCUUCUGAUGUUGGCAUCUCUGAGAUGGCAGUGAUGAUGAUGAUGAUGGUAAUAAGCUUUCCUUAUAGAGCUGCCAUUUGGAUUGAAAGAGCUCACACCUAAUUCUCAAAUGUAAAUGAACACAUUCUCAUUUUAGUGGUUAAAAUCAAAGCCGAAGAACCAACUAGGACAAACAAUUCUGCUUCAGAUGCUUCUGUGUCGCAAUCUAAGUAAGGCCCAGUGAAACACAGUUCACAAAGCUGCUCAUUGUUCUCUCUGGUGCUGAGUCCAUACCUUUGAAGUAUGUCCCAGAGAAGGACCAAGUCCCAGCCAGGGCCGAUGUGAGCCACUGCACUCCCUUGGCAAGCUGUGGUUUUGACUUCAAUUACAUGAGUUAUGUUAGGUGUUUGUUGGGCUUUGCAUCUUGAUCAGGAAUAUUCCCUUGUGAAAGGGCUGCUUGAUUUUGGCUUGCUGAUGUCAGCAGUGUAAAUAUGAUUUAAUUGAUUAAUAGGCAUUAAUGACUGGUAAUUAAGGCAUAACCUGUUAGCUGGAAAGAGCUCACAAAACAUGCCCAUAAAUGGAAGGAUGGCCUCGUUUCUGAUCAUCGUCCCUUGUCUGUGGACAGUGAUUCCACUGUAGGGUCAGUUGCCUUCUGCCAUAUGGGUUAUACAUAAAAUAAAAUGCAUAUAUUAAUAUAUUUGGUAGAAUCCAUUUAUUGUACUUUCAUCCACUGAAAAAAACCCGAGUUUUGUCCAUAUGAAAUGAGUCCUUAAUCUCUGAUCUGAAGGUCAUCUGUCGAGAAAGCCCUCUGCUGUGGUUGGUGGAGGUGCUCUACUCCAGCAGGUUUUGCUGUCUAUAAAAUCCUGGGCUUCUACUGCAUUCAUCCCUCUUUGAUUAUCGAAAACUUUCCUUUGCUGCUAACACUCAGGAACAAUGUAAUAAGUAACUUCCAAUUAAAGUUUUCCAUAUGUGGCAAAAAUUGUAAUGAAUGAAUAAGUAAAGACCGCAUAAUGGAAGCCUAUUAGCCAAGUGAAUAUACUCUUUUAAGUUAAAUUUCUAUAGCACUUUUGUAUUAUCUCCCAUCAGAAGAGAACGUGCAAUUACCAAUUUUAUCUUAUCUCGGGCUUAUUAUUAAAGAGUAGUAAAGGAAACUUCAUUCCAGGAGCCAUAAUGUGAUUUUUGAUUAAUAGAGGGAUUCUUAUGUGACAAGAAUAUUUCUCCUAGGCAAAGUAGGCACAUGGAUUUCUGCCUGAGCUGGCUUGUAGCUGGAGGCUACAUCUCAGGUGGAGCGAUUGUUCAACAAUAGAACAUAUGUCUCUACACGGGGAUCGGAUU